AGUGAUGGUUAGGACUUAGGAGA
rnacentral:snRNA from 1 species